AUUGAACGCUGGCGGCAUGCCUUACACAUGCAAGUCGAACGGUAACGGGCCUUCGGGUGCCGACGAGUGGCGAACGGGUGAGUAAUGUAUCGGAACGUACCUUUCAGUGGGGGAUAACGUAGCGAAAGUUACGCUAAUACCGCAUAUUCUGUGCGCAAGAAAGCAGGGGACCUUCGGGCCUUGCGCUGAUUGAGCGGCGGAUAUCAGAUUAGCUAGUUGGUGAGGUAAAGGCUCAACAAGGCGACGAUCUGUAGCUGGUCUGAGAGGAUGAUGCGCCACACUGGAACUGAGACACGGUCCGGACUCCUACGGGAGGCAGCAGUGGGGAAUUUUGGACAAUGGGGGCAACCCUGAUCCAGCCAUGCCGCGUGAGUGAAGAAGGCCUUCGGGUUGUAAAGCUCUUUCGGCCGGGAAGAAAUCGUAUCAGCUAAUACCUGGUGCGGAUGACGGUACCGGCAUAAGAAGCACCGGCUAACUACGUGCCAGCAGCCGCGGUAAAAC
rnacentral:rRNA from 1 species